rnacentral:tRNA from 1 species
GGUCGGUUGGCCGAGUGGCUAGGCAGCGGUCUGCAACACCGUCCACAGCAGUUCGAAUCUGCUACUGACCU